rnacentral:sRNA from 1 species
GUUACUUCCCUUUUUCCGGUCCGCCGGAUUAUGAAUGACGGCCGGUGCGAGUAUUUUCCAGAUAAACUGGCUGUCGUUUUUCUCCUGGGCCCUGUGGAAGCGAGUGGUCUGCGGGCAGCAGCUCCCAGAGGCAGCCUUGGAAUUCCAGCUCGGGCUGGGCGGGAAGGCGCAGGCGGCCCAGGUCGCCGACACGCUCACGCACCCUCCCUGCCUGGCCGCGCCUCUGCGACCAGGUAAUUAUCAGCAGGAAAUUUUCUGAGAAGCUGGUAGAAUUUCCAUUGCUAGCCUCUUGGUACCAGAGGAUCCAGGAAGUGCCAGGAGUAAAAACAGCAGCUUCUAAGUGUGGGAUCCAAUUUCUCCAUUUACCAAAGUUGUUGACAACCUCAACUGAACAGCAUCCAAACUUAAGUGAAGUCCCAGGUGUAGAAGAGCAAAGCGAUCCUUUAUUUAUAGGAGGACCAAGACCAACCAUGGCCAAGUUAAUGGAAAAGGGCAUUGAAGUGAUGUUUUCUCCCCACCCUUGCCCUACUUGGACUCUUGAUUGGAAUGUUCUCCCUGCAGCAGUCAGCCCAAAGGAAGGUAAAAUGUCCAGUGAUCGAGCUUUGAGGAAGCAGCAACAGUUGAACAACCUUGUCUAUGUGGUAACAAAUCAGGCCAAACCUGGUGACAGAAUUGUGGAUUUCUGCAGUGGUGGGGGCCAUGUUGGAAUUGUCCUUGCUCACAUGCUGCCAUCAUGUCAGGUUACAUUAAUAGAAAACAAGGAAUUAUCAUUAAUUCGUGCUAAGAAGAGAAGUGACGAACUGGGUUUAAGCAACAUUUGGUUCAUUCAAGCAAAUAUGGAAUAUUUUACUGGGAUGUUUAAUAUUGGAGUAGCAUUGCAUGCUUGUGGAGUGGCAACAGACAUGGUGAUUGAGCACUGUAUCAAAACACGGGCUUCCUUCGUCACAUGCCCUUGCUGUUAUGGUUUCAUUCAGAACACCUCAAAGUUCAAUUUUCCAAAAAGUGAACAAUUCAAGAAAACUUUAUCAUACAAGGAACACAUGAUUCUGUGCAGAUUUGCAGACCAGACAGCUGUCCAGCUCCCACCCCAACGAAGGCUCAUAGGAAAACAGUGCAUGUGCUUGGUGGAUCUGGAUCGAGCAAGAGCUGCAGAAGAAUGUGGAUACUCCGUUCAAGUGAUAUCCAUGGAGCCAGAGAACUGCUCUCCCAAAAAUAACAUGAUUGUGGGAGUCCCCAUUUAAAAUGAGAUAUUCACAUUUGAUAUUUUGCCAUCCGUCUUCAUGUUGGAUGCCCAGUGGCAUUCAGGAGGUUCUUGGCAUAACUAGGAAACAGCAUUAGCCAUCUUGAACCUAUUGUGCUCAGGAGGGAAAGCA